AUCGCACUAAACCUAAAGGCGUAAUGAAAGUGAAGGUCCGCCUUGCGCGGACCGAGGGAGGAUGGGUCCGUCCUAGAACGGGCCCCGCACUCCCGGGGCGUCUCACUCUCAUCGCGAGAAGAGGCGCACCCAGAGCGUACACGCUGGGACCCGAAAGAUGGUGAACUAUGCCUGGUCAGGACGAAGUCAGGGGAAACCCUGAUGGAGGUCCGUAGCGAUUCUGACGUGCAAAUCGAUCGUCGGAACUGGGUAUAGGGGCGAAAGACUAAUCGAACCAUCUAGUAGCUGGUUCCUUCCGA
rnacentral:rRNA from 1 species